AAAAAGGGCUUGUGCCGUGCAUGGCACAUCGCGGUUCUCCUUUUGGGGGACUGCGGUGCGGAAUCGAUAUCAAGAGAUUUCGGAAGCAUAAUUUUUGCUAACGAGGCUGCUUGUGAUCUUUUGUCCGGGCGCCUCA